rnacentral:rRNA from 1 species
ACGAACGCUGGCGGCGUGCUUAACACAUGCAAGUCGAACGGAAAGGCCCUGCUUUUGUGGGGUGCUCGAGUGGCGAACGGGUGAGUAACACGUGAGUAACCUGCCCUUGACUUUGGGAUAACUUCAGGAAACUGGGGCUAAUACCGGAUAGGAGCUCCUGCUGCAUGGUGGGGGUUGGAAAGUUUCGGCGGUUGGGGAUGGACUCGCGGCUUAUCAGCUUGUUGGUGGGGUAGUGGCUUACCAAGGCUUUGACGGGUAGCCGGCCAGAGAGGGUGACCGGCCACAUUGGGACUGAGAUACGGCCCAGACUCCUACGGGAGGCAGAAGUGGGGAAUAUUGCACAAUGGGCGGAAGCCUGAUGCAGCAACGCCGCGUGCGGGAUGACGGCCUUCGGGUUGUAAACCGCUUUCGCCUGUGACGAAGCGUGAGUGACGGUAAUGGGUAAAGAAGCACCGGCUAACUACGUG